rnacentral:rRNA from 1 species
UACGUAGGGUGCAAGCGUUGUCCGGAAUUAUUGGGCGUAAAGAGCUCGUAGGCGGUUAUGUAAGACAGGUGUGAAAUCCCCGGGCUUAACCUGGGAACUGCAUUUGUGACUGCAUAGCUAGAGUACGGUAGAGGGGGAUGGAAUUCCGCGUGUAGCAGUGAAAUGCGUAGAUAUGCGGAGGAACACCGAUGGCGAAGGCAAUCCCCUGGACCUGUACUGACGCUCAUGCACGAAAGCGUGGGGAGCAAACAGG